rnacentral:rRNA from 1 species
GCGGGACACGUGGUAUCCUGUCUGAAUAUGGGGGGACCAUCCUCCAAGGCUAAAUACUCCUGACUGACCGAUAGUGAACCAGUACCGUGAGGGAAAGGCGAAAAGAACCCCGGCGAGGGGAGUGAAAAAGAACCUGAAACCGUGUACGUACAAGCAGUGGGAGCCUCUUAAUGGGGUGACUGCGUACCUUUUGUAUAAUGGGUCAGCGACUUAUAUUCUGUAGCAAGGUUAACCGAAUAGGGGAGCCGAAGGGAAACCGAGUCUUAACUGGGCGUUAAGUUGCAGGGUAUAGACCCGAAACCCGGUGAUCUAGCCAUGGGCAGGUUGAAGGUUGGGUAACACUAACUGGAGGACCGAACCGACUAAUGUUGAAAAAUUAGCGGAUGACUUGUGGCUGGGGGUGAAAGGCCAAUCAAACCGGGAGAUAGCUGGUUCUCCCCGAAAGCUAUUUAGGUAGCGCCUCGUGAAUUCAUCUCCGGGGGUAGAGCACUGUUUCGGCAAGGGGGUCAUCCCGACUUACCAACCCGAUGCAAACUGCGAAUACCGGAGAAUGUUAUCACGGGAGACACACGGCGGGUGCUAACGUCCGUCGUGAAGAGGGAAACAACCCAGACCGCCAGCUAAGGUCCCAAAGUCAUGGUUAAGUGGGAAACGAUGUGGGAAGGCCCAGACAGCCAGGAUGUUGGCUUAGAAGCAGCCAUCAUUUAAAGAAAGCGUAAUAGCUCACUGGUCGAGUCGGCCUGCGCGGAAGAUGUAACGGGGCUAAACCAUG